AGUAAGAGAGAUAGAAGUUCAGGGAUGAUGGGGAGUGGUGAGACUGAUCCGGAGCUGCUUAGCUUUUCUUCUGUGCUGUUCUCUUGCAAAGCUACUCUGAAGCUUCAGCCGACACAGAAAUCAUCUCCUGCCUGCUUGGAAUAAGAUCAUGUGCAUCAGAUAUUUCAGGGACUGCAGGAACAAAAGCAAGUUGGAGCAAGCAAUAGAGCUGAAACUCUUGGAAGAACCUGCUCUUCUCUGGAGUUCUUGACAGAUCUCUGCAGCAGCACUGCUCCCAAUUGGGGGAAAAGGCAUUUUGUAGAUACUGCAUAAAGGAGGAUCAGAGCAUCAUAGGAAUUACUUCUGACACAGCGAAGAGCAAUAUCCAUUGAAGUUUAUCAACUCCUCUUGAAGAAGAUACACCUUUCCCUGGAUGUUAAGUGUGUUUAAUAAAAGGAUUGCUUCAGGAGGUGUCCUGGCUGAACAGAUGACCACCCCACUCUGAGCGUUGCUGUUCUGCUACCUGAGGACAGUGGUGACUUAAAUGCACUGUUGGAGCUGCCUAUGCGGUCACUAAUUCAUAUCAGUUUACUGAGAUCUCUUGGUGCCUAGCUCAUCAAUAUCUCAUCACUUGAAGAGCAAGAGAAAGAAGAAGCUUUUUUUUAUCUUGGUGUGACCCUUCAGAUGAGAUCAUCUGAGAUCCCUCUCACUUGCACCCCAUUUUGAGUGUGAGCUGCUGCUCAGAAAAAUUGUUUUUUUUCCCCUCCUCAUUUUAUUACUUGCAAACUUACAAAGUUUUGAUGCUUGUCUAGUUCAAAUAUUCUUCUCAAAUCUAGUUAAUUUUACUACUUAUGUGGUUUUAGUGAGAUUUCAUAGUAGAUUUCAUAGUUCAAUAAACUUCACUCAACAUACAUAUUGUCAUACUGAAUUUGGUUAAAAAAAGGGAAUCUAACUUUGUGCAACUCAUAUGCUUUAUUUAUCCAUACGAGUUUACCUACAUGGUUAAUUCCAUUAAAUUCUUAUGUUGUAGGCAUUUUAAGAUUGAGGAUGAGUCCAUCAGUAGGAGUACCUGAGUGUUUUUCCGUCCUUGUUUAUGUUCCUCAAUUAAAUAAGACUAUUCUAAUAUGCUGGAAAACUUGAGCUAUCUUAGAAGUUUAUCUAAAAAUACUUUAUGAGACAGGAAUUUACCUUGCAGACUUCAUUUUUAUAAGUUAAUUCAUUUGAAGAAAUUACUGUGAUUUGAAGAAUAUGUGUGUAGAUCUGAGAGCAUCUGUAUUGCAUACAAAUAGAAAAAAUACCAAUAGAAAUAUAAGACUAAAA